UACGUAGGGGGCAAGCGUUGUCCGGAAUUAUUGGGCGUAAAGAGCGUGUAGGCGGUCCGGUAAGUCGGCUGUGAAAGUCCAGGGCUCAACCCUGGGAUGCCGGUCGAUACUGCCGGGCUAGAGUGCGGAAGAGGCGAGUGGAAUUCCUGGUGUAGCGGUGAAAUGCGCAGAUAUCAGGAGGAACACCAAUUGCGAAGGCAGCUCGCUGGGACGUAACUGACGCUGAGACGCGAAAGCGUGGGGAGCAAACAGG
rnacentral:rRNA from 1 species